UACAGAGGUCUCAAGCGUUGUCCGGAAUUAUUGGGCGUAAAGAGCUCGUAGGCGGUCUGUCGCGUCGGAUGUGAAAAUCCAGGGCUCAACCCUGGACCUGCAUUCGAUACGGGCAGACUAGAGUUCGGCAGGGGAGACUGGAAUUCCUGGUGUAGCGGUGAAAUGCGCAGAUAUCAGGAGGAACACCGGUGGCGAAGGCGGGUCUCUGGGCCGAUACUGACGCUGAGGAGCGAAAGCGUGGGGAGCAAACAGG
rnacentral:rRNA from 1 species